GACGAACGCUGGCGGCGUGCUUAACACAUGCAAGUCGAACGAAGAGCGAUGGAAGCUUGCUUCUAUCAAUCUUAGUGGCGAACGGGUGAGUAACGCGUAAUCAACCUGCCCUUCAGAGGGGGACAACAGUUGGAAACGACUGCUAAUACCGCAUACGAUCUAAUCUCGGCAUCGAGGAUAGAUGAAAGGUGGCCUCUACAUGUAAGCUAUCACUGAAGGAGGGGAUUGCGUCUGAUUAGCUAGUUGGAGGGGUAACGGCCCACCAAGGCGAUGAUCAGUAGCCGGUCUGAGAGGAUGAACGGCCACAUUGGGACUGAGACACGGCCCAGACUCCUACGGGAGGCAGCAGUGGGGAAUCUUCCGCAAUGGACGAAAGUCUGACGGAGCAACGCCGCGUGAGUGAUGACGGCCUUCGGGUUG
rnacentral:rRNA from 1 species